GGUGGUUGUGCAGCUCUUUGUGAGUUUAGAAUGUGAUUGAUCCACUAGAUCUUGCGUUUGUGUGUGUGGUGCAUGUGCGGGUGUGUAUCACCACUAGAUCCCAGAAGAUUUGUUACAUUUCUUGGUUCAAACCCCACCUACUGCUUUUCAAAAGUUUCAUAAACCAUAUCAAUGGCAAGGUUUGUUCGGCCUCGUCUUAUUUGUUACAAGCUUGUGGUCAAGCAUUCUAGAUCCACAAUGUAGUUGUGAGAAUAAAGAAGCCACAUGUUCAACUCUUGCUACUGUACCUAU
rnacentral:lncRNA from 1 species